CUGCCAGAGUUCUCCAUCACUUUCUCCAGCCUUAUGAGAGUAACUUUCUAACACUGUAUUUCAAUGUCUCCUGGCAGAAUAUUUUCCAUCUGCUUUUUAGAUGUGUGAGUGUGGGAGGGGCAGAGGAGGCUGGGAUGGCGGGGGUGGUGUCAAGGAACAACGCCAAGACAUACUGCUCUCGUUGAAAUGAUCUACUGCUUCCUUUCCGUUUCCACAGGGCUUGGUACACUGCUCUCACUUCUCUUCUGUGAGGCUGCUGUUCUUCACUUCUUCCUGAGGUUUCAAAUGUGUGUAUAUCUCCACUUUGCAAUGCUUGGGAAUUUGCAGGAUAAAAUGUGGAGCUUUUGAAAUCAAUGAGUUUUUUAUGUGAUUAUAAUGGACUCCAAUAUUCAUUUUAAAAAAUCCGAUGGGCAGACACAGGUAAGAAAAGAUUAUACAGCAUAAUUCUUAAGGGCACUCUACCAUACCUCAAAGAAAUGCU
rnacentral:lncRNA from 1 species